CCCGCCAUCCAACGACAUCUCAGUUUGACAUCUCAGUGGUGUAUCGCAGUUUAAUACAUCCCUGUUGGUUCAUUUCAUUUUUGAUUCACCUCAGUUUGAUUCAUUCGCUUUCGACUCAUUUUUGAUUCAUUUUUUUGUGGGACAUUUCAUUGAGCUUGAGUGACAUUGCUACGAAAUCUCAAGAUAAUUUCAACGCACGCUACGUCAAGACAACUCAUCUCAAUUCCUUAUUUUUUUUAUAUUUUUGAUCCGAGGAACUUUGAACUGUGAGAGUUCGGUUGAAUCACAGAACCUAAAGUGAACUGAGAACUUUGAACUGUGAGAGUUCGGUUGAAUCACAGAACCUAAAGUGAACUGAGUGAGUACAUAAAGGGACAUUUCACGUGAGUGCUCUUCCAGAUGUGAAAUUGCAUCGUAUAUAUUGAUGUUGUUUUUCUCCUCAAAUGUGAUUGUCUGAUCAUUCGAAGUUGAUCAUUUUGAAAACUUAAAAUUCAUCAUAAGUGGUGUUUAGAAAAGUGUUUUUUUUAUUUUAUUUUGAAGUGGGGUUUAUCUUUGUACAAGUAAAAAAGUUUAGAGUUUUUACAUUGAAAGUGAUUGGGUUGUACUGGGUUUGAAAGAAAACACAAAGACCAUACAUUUUUUUAUUUAUUUUAUUUACUCUAUUUUAUUUUAUUAACCCUUAAUUAACACUUGAUUACAAGAAAGAAGAAAAGACACAGAUAAUAAAUAUUGUUUAAUUUUCAUACUUACCUCAUUGUAUUUUUUGUUUAGAGCUGUCAAGGAGUAGGGGCGUCUCAGCUACUUUAUUAGACCAGAGGAGGGAGGAGUAUAUUAGAUUUUCUCACACCUUUUACUUUUACUUCAGGAAGCCAGUGACAUUACUUAAGCUGAAGCCUACCCUCGUCGGUCUGUACAUUCCAAUAAAGUAGAACACAACAUACAUACAAUUAGUGUGUAGUGAGACUAAAAGCACUGGAAGCGGAGACUAAGAUCUUUUCGUUAUUCAGUCUUCCGUGGCAGCACUAAUACAUCUUCCCCUACAAGACGGGUUAAAUACUCGUUACAC
ensembl:lncRNA